GACUACAGCCAUGCCACCCUGAACAAGCCUGAUCUCAUCUGAUCUCGAAAGCUAAGCAGGGUCAGGCCUGGUUAGUACUUGGAUUUUAUACCACCUAGGAAUACCUGGGGCUGUAGGCU
rnacentral:rRNA from 1 species